UACGUAGGUGGCAAGCGUUAUCCGGAAUUACUGGGCGUAAAGCGCACGUAGGCGGCUUUGUAAGUUAGAGGUGAAAGCCCGGGGCUCAACCCCGGAAUUGCCUUUAAGACUGCAUCGCUUGAAUCCGGGAGAGGUGAGUGGAAUUCCGAGUGUAGAGGUGAAAUUCGUAGAUAUUCGGAAGAACACCAGUGGCGAAGGCGGCUCACUGGACCGGUAUUGACGCUGAGGUGCGAAAGCGUGGGGAGCAAACAGG
rnacentral:rRNA from 1 species